GACGAACGCUGGCGGCGUGCUUAACACAUGCAAGUCGAACGAUGAACCGAGAGCUUGCUCUUGGGGAUUAGUGGCGAACGGGUGAGUAACACGUGAGUAACCUGCCCUGGACUCUGGGAUAACCCCGAGAAAUCGGAGCUAAUACCGGAUAGGACCCUGUACCGCAUGGUGUGGGGUGGAAAGUUUUUUCGGUUUGGGAUGGACUCGCGGCCUAUCAGCUUGUUGGUGAGGUAAUGGCUCACCAAGGCGUCGACGGGUAGCCGGCCUGAGAGGGUGACCGGCCACACUGGGACUGAGACACGGCCCAGACUCCUACAGGAGGCAGCAGUGGGGAAUAUUGCACAAUGGGCGCAAGCCUGAUGCAGCAACGCCGCGUGCGGGAUGACGGCCUUCGGGUUGUAAACCGCUUUUAGUAAGGAAGAAGGGGAGCUUGCUCCUUGACGGUACUUGCAGAAAAAGGACCGGCUAACUACGUGCCAGCCGCCGCGGUAACAC
rnacentral:rRNA from 1 species